UGUUGUAAGGGGAAACACUGAUGAUUGUGAGGCACACAAAUAUUACAUUGAUGGGAACCAUAAAUACAAACCAACAAGAAAACAAGAUAAAUUUCGCUGUGUAUCAUCUUUGUCAGGACAAGUACUGAUGUUUUGGUGUAUGCAGAAUCCCCCUGAAAUCAGUCUCAGCAAGAAAUAUUCAGGCAAGUGAUAUCUGCACCUAUUUAGCCUCAACCUUUCGUUACUGCUUUUGACAUUUAACACAGGAUCAACAGUGAAAUCUUAAUUCUGAUUCUUUUCACAGGACCAUUAAAUGUGAGUGACAUCAGAAAGCUAGCAUUCAUUUCUCCGAGCUUCAGUCAGGUUCUUUGGAAGCAAAUUCCUCAAUUUGAGUAACAAAUGCUGAUAUUGCUGCCUUGCAGUAACACCCCUCAGCCUGCAGCCAGAAGACAGCACUUAGCAGAGGAAUGGGAGACACCAGUGCUGGCUUUCAGCAUUAGAAUAACCCUGCCUGAUAAAGGGAAGAUUCCUCUGUGUCACAAAUACUUACUGCUUCUGGAGCAGACCCCACUGUGCCACCUACAGUAUAGUGUACAGAGAAGGACAGAAGUUUGGAGGCUGUCUGCCUUCUCCUCACUGAAUGCAGAUGAGUUACAAACGGCAUCUGAUGUGAAAUGCAUCCAGUCAAUAGAGUAUAUCCAUUCCUAAGGAGUAUCAAUGUAACAACAGGAACUUUCCCAGUGACAUUUAAUGAUCUCCAAUACUUACAGCACCAAAGUAUGCCUAGCAGCUAGUUGCCUUAUCUUUUCUUAUUACAAAUCUGACAAAAGGUGCUUAAAAAUAAUUGAAUAACAGCAAACCAAAUAGUAAUAUUCUCUUCCACUCUACUAGCAUCAAAGAUUUUAAAGAGAGUUCAUGCCCACUCAGGAUUCUCAUUACAGUUCACUAUUGAAAAUCCUCUCCUGUUUCAAAGGCUGAGUAGUUGCUCUAAAAUCCAUGUUUCCUCUGACUCUCUGAAAUGUGGAAUGUCUGAAAUUCUGGUGCACAGUAACAUACAG
rnacentral:lncRNA from 1 species